rnacentral:lncRNA from 1 species
ACUAAAGCCAACUUGAUAAGAAGAUAUACUAAAUGAAAAGUAGUGUGAUAUCCCACCUCAACCAUAUUAGUUGCAAGUUCUCCGACAUUUUCUAGUUUAGAAAAUCUUGCAUUUCCUCUCAUUUCAGAAAUCCACAUCUUUAGUUGUUCUUUAAGCUCCAUUCGAUCAUCCAUUGAAAAGUCUUGUGGAUAUAGUUCUGCAAGUCGAACUAACUUUGAAAAACUAAAAUUGGAGAACGAAUUCUUAGGAUCAAGACAUGCUAU